AUUGAACGCUGGCGGCAGGCCUAACACAUGCAAGUCGAACGAGUGGCGGACGGGUGAGUAAUGUUUGGGAAUCUAGCCUAUGGAGGGGGAUAACUACGGGAAACUGUAGCUAAUACCGCGUACCAUUGGCUGAGCCCAGGUGGGAUUGGGUAGUUGGUGAGGUAAAGGCUCACCAUGCCGACGAUCUCUAGCUGGUCUGAGAGGAUGACCAGCAACACUGGAACUGAGACACGGUCCAGACUCCUACGGGAGGCAGCAGUGGGGAAUAUUGCGCAAGGGGCGCAAGCCUGACGCAGCCAUGCCGCGUGAAUGAGGAAGGCCUUCGGGUUGUAAAGUUCUGUCAGUAGCGAGGCGUUAACUACAGAAGAAGCACCGGCUAACUCCGUGCCAGCAGCCGCGGUAAUAC
rnacentral:rRNA from 1 species